rnacentral:rRNA from 1 species
CCUGGGAACUGCGUUNUGAACUGGGUGACUAGAGUGUGUCAGAGGGAGGUAGAAUUNCACGUGUAGCAGUGAAAUGCGUAGAGAUGUGGAGGAAUACCGAUGGCGAAGGCAGCCUCCUGGGAUAACACUGACGUUCAUGCCCGAAAGCGUGGGUAGCAAACAGGAUUAGAUACCCUGGUAGUCCACGCCCUAAACGAUGUCGAUUAGCUGUUGGGCAGCAUGACUGCUUAGUAGCGAAGCUAACGCGUGAAAUCGACCGCCUGGGGAGUACGGUCGCAAGAUUAAAACUCAAAGGAAUUGACGGGGACCCGCACAAGCGGUGGAUGAUGUGGAUUAAUUCGAUGCAACGCGAAGAACCUUACCUGGUCUUGACAUGUACGGAACCCUCCAGAGACGGAGGGGUGCCUUCGGGAGCCGUAACACAGGUGCUGCAUGGCUGUCGUCAGCUCGUGUCGUGAGAUGUUGGGUUANNNNNNNCAACGAGCGCAACCCUUGUCAUUAGUUGCCAUCAUUAAGUUGGGCACUCUAAUGAGACUGCCGGUGACAAGCCGGAGGAAGGUGGGGAUGACGUCAAGUCCUCAUGGCCCUUAUGACCAGGGCUUCACACGUCAUACAAUGGUCGGUACAGAGGGUAGCCAAGCCGCGAGGUGGAGCCAAUCUCACAAAACCGAUCGUAGUCCGGAUUGCACUCU